CCCAGAUCGUUUACCGUGAAAAAAUUAGAGUGUUCAAAGCAGGCAGACCAUUUCUUCUGCCACCGAAUACAUUAGCAUGGGAUAAUGGAAUAGGACCCUGUCCUCCUAUUUUGCGUGUUGGUUUUCGAGGACCGGGUAAUGAUUAAUAGGGAUAGUUGGGGGCAUUAAUAUUUAAUUGUCAGAGGUGAAAUUCUUGGAUUUAUGAAAGAUUGACUUCUGCGAAAGCAUCUGCCAAGGAUGUUUUCAUUAAUCAAGAACGAAAGUUAGGGGAUCGAAGACGAUCAGAUACCGUCGUAGUCUUAACCAUAAACGAUGCCGACCAGCGAUUAGGAGACGUUGAAUACAAAACACCACCGUCGGGUCGGCCGUCCUUGGCCGUCGUGCGCGGCGACGCGCGCGGUGGCGAGGGCGGCGUCUGCCCGACGGCCCGGUGAAUGACUCCCCUAGCAGCUUGUGAGA
rnacentral:rRNA from 1 species